GCCAAGAAUAGUAACUCUUCUUUGUUUGGAAAUCGCUUAAAAGAGCUGCAAACUCCCUAAUUUGAUCAUUAGUUACUCAUUCCCGUCCGAGAAGAAGACUUCAAGAGGGUUACAGAAUCUUGUGACAAGGUGUGCAAAGUAAGCUGCUUUCUUCUCUCCACGAGACCGUUCUUUUCACAUUUUUCCUGUCAGGAGGUAUAAGAUAUCCAGGGCUGAACUCGUGUUUACAAAGGCGUAAAGUUGGUUAAAUAGAUCAUUUCCUUGGCUAAAACUAUUCUUCGUAGUAAAGGGUAUUCAAAGUAGCAAACACAAGAUAAAGAUGAAGAUACCCACAGUUUUGUUGCUCUGCAUGGUGGCUUUGUUUUUCAUGGAUUGUUUUGUAUCAGCUGAAGAGAAGGAGGUCCAGCAAAGAGGAUACAUCAGAAAACUUUCAGGCGAUGCGUCCCAUAAAAGGAGAGAAAAAGGU